CCUACGGGAGGCAGCAGUAGGGAAUAUUGCGCGAUGGGGGAAACCCUGACGCAGCAACGCCGCGUGAGUGAGGAAGGUCUUAGGAUUGUAAAACUCUUUUAUUUGGGAAAAAUGACCAUAUGGCUAAUAUCCAUGUGGAGUGAUGGUACCAAAGGAAUAAGCACCGGCUAACUUCGUACCAGCAGCCGCGGUAAU
rnacentral:rRNA from 1 species